UGAUUUCUGAAUGACAAGGAGGACGGUUUAUUGGGAGUUGACAGGUGCAGGAGGAAGGGCUGGGCUGGACCAGGGUCGCGGGGGGAGACCCUCGCGGGGGUCCUGUGGCUCCAGGCCCCUGAGGGUGGUGGGGGCCCAGGACCUAGGCGCACUCGGAGGGCGUCACUGUCUUCUCCACAAUGGUCCCCUCGUGGGUGACCUGGCAGGUGAAGCCGCUGGAAGAUUUCCAGUCACUGCGGACAGGGCCAGGUAGCUGCUGCCGCGUACUUGUUGUUGCUCUGUUUCGAGGGCUUGGUGGUCUCCACGCCUGGUGACGGUGGUGCGCCUGCCUUCCAGGUCACCGUCACGGCGCCCGGGUAGAAGUCACUUAUUAGACACCAGGGUGGCCUUGUUGGUGCCGAGCUCCUCAGAGGAGGGCGGGAAGAGGUUGACCGUGGGAGCGGCCUUGGGCUGACCUGGGGUCGGGGAGAGACGGGAGGUCGUUGGCUCAGUGUCCAUCAGGGGAAUCCCUGUGCAGGCGAUGGGGACACAG
rnacentral:lncRNA from 1 species